CUCACAAUGAUACUGAGAGAAAAAAAGCGUUAUUGUAGCCGUUAUUAUCACGCAACAAACUCCUUCCCCUUCCAUUACUCCAUCAACUUAUAUUUCCAAUUUUACCCCUACCGACUAAAAAAAACGAACUCCUUCAACUUUCUUACAUCUGUAUAAAUACCAUCAACGAACCUAACCAUAUUUUCCAAUAUCACAACAUUUCUCAGAUUCACUUUUUUUUUUCUCUCUCUCCUCUUUCUCCCAAAGAUAAAGACAGUUUAGUUGCUACUACCCAUGGGAAGUGUUGAAACCUCAAACAAGGAUACAAAUGGAAGCCUGCUAAACAAAAAUCCUACAAUUGUGUUUGUGUUAGGUGGCCCUGGCAGUGGAAAGGGUACCCAAUGUGCAAAUGUUGUCGAACAUUUUGGGUAUACUCACCUCAGUGCUGGUGAUCUUCUGAGAGCAGAGAUAAAAUCCGGCUCUGAAAAUGGCACAAUGAUCCAGAAUAUGAUUAAAGAAGGAAAAAUUGUUCCCUCCGAGGUAACAAUUAAGCUUCUACAACGAGCAAUUCAGGAAAGUGGCAAUGAUAAAUUUCUUAUUGAUGGUUUUCCUCGCAAUGAGGAAAACCGUGCAGCAUUUGAGAAAGUGACAGGAAUAGAGCCAACAUUUGUCUUAUAUUUUGAUUGCCCUGAGGAAGAGAUGGAGAGACGACUUCUUAGUAGGAACCAGGGUAGAGAAGACGACAACAUUGAAACAAUAAGGAAACGGUUCAAGGUUUUCUUGGAGUCUAGCCUCCCUGUGAUUAAUUAUUAUGAUGCAAAGGGAAAAGUUCGCAAGAUUGAUGCUGCAAGGCCCGUUGAAGAGGUAUUUGAGUCUGUCAAAGCAGUUUUUGGUCCAAAAACUGAAAAGGUAAAUCACUAUGUUCGCUUUAUGUCAAAACUUUAUAUGUACAAGUUCCAUUUUUUGUCAAAGAGAAAAUUUGGAAAUCAAUGUCAUUAUUGUUAAUAUGGAAUGUAUUUAUGUGAUAUUGAAAUAUGUUGUAUGUAUACUAAACUAUAAAGUAACUCAUGCCUUGCAUGGGUUUUAAAAGAAAUUUAAUUUUAUGUACACUAUUAAUAUUAAUUAUCAUAUUUUGUGUUUUACCUUGCAUUUUGGAUCAAUUCACUUCUUUUUUUUUUUUUUUAAGAAAAUAACUAUUAGAGCAAGACUAAAAAAAGAUGGGUAAGAGAAUGUUCAAAGAAUUUAGUCUGAAGUGCAAUUUUAGUUCUCCUAUUUUGACCCACUGUAAUUUUGAUCUCCCAAUUGUUAAUUGCACAAUUUAAGUCCUCCAUGUCAAAACUUUUGACCCAUCCACGAUUUUGAUGAUGUGACAAUAAAUUAGGUGACCUAUUUUAAUGUCAUGACUUUCACUUGUCUUGUUUUCAAUACCAGGUCACUUAAAUUAUUGCCAUGUCAUCAAAUUGGGUGUUCAAAAUUUCUUAAAUGGAGACUAAAAUUGCGAUUUGGACGAAAUAGAGGACUAAAACUGCAUUUAAGCCAUAUUUUUAUUUAAAGAAAUUCUACGUGGCAUUUAAAUUUAAAUAGAGAUAUAGACAUAACAAUUUCAUUAGAAUUUUCCAAUAAAAAACUAAGUUCAAUUCUAUGGUGCACAAGUGAGACAUGUCUUGCAUCAUGCACAAGUUGGUUUCUACCAUUGGAUCAAUAAAUCACAGCGUUGGAUUAAAUGAUAUAUGAUGCGACUAAUUCAAUGGUAAAAAACACACUUGUGCAUGGUAAAAGACAAUUUUGUUUGUGCACACUGCACAUUAGACAAAGUCAGAAAACUAAUUGUUCGCGCACAACUUGUGCGUUUGAGAAAAGACAAAUGAAAAAAAAUAAUUAAUGGAGUAUAUGAACAUGCUGCCACUAAGGAAGGUACAGAAUUUUGAAAUUUUGGGAAGUUCAAAAAGUUGCAACUCCAUUUCAAUAAAUUCCAAAACUUCUUCCGCACCAAUGCCAUGGCAUCAUUUUCACUUUUUCACUUCUCUUACAAAUGAGAACUUCCUUAUAAGUACAUGCUAGAGCACCUUGAAAUUAUAAAUGAUGGAAUUUUCACGAUAGAAAUGACGAUGAAAUAUAAAAUUUAGUUUGUGUCAUUCAAACUGCUAUAUUUUCCAGGAAUUGAUGUUUAUCUAUGGUAUUUGCAGGCUAAUUGAGUUUAUCACCAUUGAUUUCAUGCUGGAUAUUUAAGAGGUCACAUUAGUGUUGGCUGCUUGUUCUUUUGCCCCACAUUUUGUUCUAGAUAUAGAAAAAUGUAUUUUUAUACCUGAGGUUUUUGCCUCUAUAUUCUAUUGUUUGUACCCUGUGGACUCAUUCAUUUAUUACAAAUAACGAAUUUUGUUUGGCUUAUUAUUUACUUAUUUUAGGUGAAAUGUUUGAGUUAUGUAUAACGUUGGUGGUAAAUCAUUACCGGUGAAAUUGAAAGACUAGUUCUGUAUAUCAUAAUGUCUAUGAACACACUCGAUUUUUGCUCUAUGAACACACUCGAUGACUGUUCUUUA